AACGAACGCUGGCGGCGUGCUUGACACAUGCAAGUCGAACGAAGUAGCAAUACUUAGUGGCGCACGGGUGAGUAACACGUGGGAAUCUGCCCUAAAGUGGGAGAUAACAGCUGGAAACGGCUGCUAAUACCGCAUAAUCUCGAAAGAGCAAAGAUUUAUCGCUUUAGGAUGAGCCCGCGUCUGAUUAGCUAGUUGGUGAGGUAAUGGCUCACCAAGGCGACGAUCAGUAGCCGGUCUGAGAGGACGAUCGGCCACACUGGGACUGAGACACGGCCCAGACUCCUACGGGAGGCAGCAGUGGGGAAUUUUGGACAAUGGGCGCAAGCCUGAUCCAGCGACGCCGCGUGAAUGAUGAAGGCCUUCGGGUUGUAAAGUUCUUUUGGCAGGGAAGAUAGUGACGGUACCUGCAGAAUAAGCACCGGCAAACUCUGUGCCAGCCGCCGCCGUAA
rnacentral:rRNA from 1 species